rnacentral:rRNA from 1 species
GAUGAACGCUGGCGGCGUGCCUAAUACAUGCAAGUCGAGCGAACAGACGAGGAGCUUGCUCCUCUGACGUUAGCGGCGGACGGGUGAGUAACACGUGGAUAACCUACCUAUAAGACUGGGAUAACUUCGGGAAACCGGAGCUAAUACCGGAUAAUAUAUUGAACCGCAUGGUUCAAUAGUGAAAGACGGUUUUGCUGUCACUCAUAGAUGGAUCCGCGCCGCAUUAGCUAGUUGGUAAGGUAACGGCUUACCAAGGCAACGAUGCGUAGCCGACCUGAGAGGGUGAUCGGCCACACUGGAACUGGGACACGGUCCAGACUCCUACGGGAGGCAGCAGUAGGGAAUCUUCCGCAAUGGGCGAAAGCCUGACGGAGCAACGCCGCGUGAGUGAUGAAGGUCUUCGGAUCGUAAAACUCUGUUAUUAGGGAAGAACAAAUGUGUAAGUAACUAUGCACGUCUUGACGGUACCUAAUCAGAAAGCCACGGCUAACUACGUG